rnacentral:rRNA from 1 species
UACGUAGGGUGCAAGCGUUGUCCGGAAUUACUGGGCGUAAAGAGUUCGUAGGCGGUUUGUCGCGUCGUUUGUGAAAACCAGCAGCUCAACUGCUGGCUUGCAGGCGAUACGGGCAGACUUGAGUACUGCAGGGGAGACUGGAAUUCCUGGUGUAGCGGUGAAAUGCGCAGAUAUCAGGAGGAACACCAGCGGCGAAGGCGGCGCCUCUGGGCCGGAAACUGACGCUGAGGAGCGAAAGCGUGGGUAGCAAACAGG